rnacentral:ribozyme from 12 species
AGAAAGACGAAGAAGAAGAAAAAGCCACAGGAGUAGUAUCUUCUUCUUCUUCUUCUUCUUCUUCUUCUUCUUCUCGUUAUUUGGAUAGGAAUGGGCUGCUGCUUACGACAACAGGUAAUAAGA